CCGGAAUGAAGCAAGACAGAAAGUUGAUUGUGUUCUGAGGGCCAAUCCAAAGGGUGAGGAAAUCUUCAAGGAGUAUGAAAAGACCAAAACACUAACAGAUGCCACACAUAAACAGAUGGUGAACGUCCUGGUUGCAGACAUGUUAGAGCUACAUGGAAGGAUUCCAUCGUCAAGUGUGAGGACCAGUUAUGCACUGGGAAUUGUGACACUUUUUCCAUACCUCCAAGAUCCUUUCUCCAAACAUGGAUAUGAACACUACUAUGAUCCUGAGGGUAAUACUGGCUUCAUUGUAUGGACGAUCAAGACAGUUCAAUGUAACAGCUGGUGUCAUUCCAAGACUGUUCUUCAGAAUGGUCC